rnacentral:rRNA from 1 species
AUUGAACGCUGGCGGCAGGCCUAACACAUGCAAGUCGAGCGAGCGGCGGACGGGGGAGUAAUGUAUGGGGACUGCCCGAUAGAGGGGGAUCACUACUGGAAACGGUAGCUAAUACCGCAUACUAUCGGAGAACGCAGAUGGGGUUAGCUAGUAGGUGUGGUAAGGGCUCACCUAGGCGACGAUCCCUAGCUGGUCUGAGAGGAUGAUCAGCCACACUGGGACUGAGACACGGCCCAGCCUCCUACGGAGGCAGCAGUGGGGAAUAUUGCACAAUGGGCGCAAGCCUGAUGCAGCCAUGCCGCGUGUAUGAAGAAGGCCUUCGGGUUGUAAAGUACUUUCAGUCGGGAGGCGUUACCGACAGAAGAAGCACCGGCUAACUCCGUGCCAGCAGCCGCGGUAAUAC